rnacentral:rRNA from 1 species
GCAAGAUUAAAACUCAAAGGAAUAGACGGGGACCCGCACAAGCGGUGGAGCAUGUGGUUUAAUUAGACGAUACGCGAAGAACCUUACCUGGCCUUGACAUAGAAAGAACUUACUAGAGAUAGUUUGGUGCUAGCUUGCUAGAACUUUCAUACAGGUGCUGCACGGCUGUCGUCAGCUCGUGUCGUGAGAUGUUGGGUUAAGUCCCGCAACGAGCGCAACCCUCGUGUUUAGUUACUAACAGUUCGGCUGAGGACUCUAGACAGACUGCCUGGGUAACCAGGAGGAAGGUGAGGACGACGUCAAGUCAUCAUGGCCCUUACGGCCAGGGCUACACACGUGCUACAAUGGGGUAUACAAAGAGCCGCAAUACCGCGAGGUGGAGCAAAUCUCAUAAAAUAUCUCCC